rnacentral:rRNA from 1 species
CCUACGGGUGGCAGCAGUGGGGAAUAUUGCACAAUGGGGGAAACCCUGAUGCAGCGACGCCGCGUGAGUGAAGAAGUAAUUCGGUAUGUAAAGCUCUAUCAGCAGGGAAGAAAAUGACGGUACCUGAGUAAGAAGCCCCGGCUAACUACGUGCCAGCAGCCGCGGUAAUACGUAGGGGGCAAGCGUUAUCCGGAUUUACUGGGUGUAAAGGGAGCGUAGACGGCAGCGCAAGUCUGGAGUGAAAGGCGGGGGCUCAACCCCCGGACUGCUCUGGAAACUGUACGGCUAGAGUGCAGGAGAGGUAAGUGGAAUUCCUAGUGUAGCGGUGAAAUGCGUAGAUAUCACGCAGAACUCCGAUUGCGAAGGCAGCUUACUAGGCCGUAACUGACGCUGAGGCACGAAAGCGUGGGGAUCAAACAGGAUUAGAUACCCUUGUAGUC